GAUGAACGCUGGCGGCGUGCCUAAUACAUGCAAGUCGAGCGGCAGCACGGUCUUCGGACUGGUGGCGAGCGGCGGACGGCUGAGUAACGCGUAGGAACGUACCCCAAAGUGAGGGAUAACUGCCCGAAAGGGUGGCUAAUACCGCAUGUGCUCUUCGGAGUAAAGCUAUAUGCGCUUUGGGAACGGCCUGCGUUCGAUUAGCUAGUUGGUGAGGUGAAUGCUCACCAAGGCGACGAUCGAUAGCUGGUCUGAGAGGAUGAUCAGCCAGACUGGAACUGAGACACGGUCCAGACUCCUACGGGAGGCAGCAGUAGGGAAUUUUCCACAAUGGGCGAAAGCCUGAUGGAGCAACGCCGCGUGCAGGAUGAAUGCCUUCGGGUUGUAAACUGCUUUUAUGUGCGAAGAAUUUGACGGUAACACAUGAAUAAGGAUCGGCUAACUACGUGCCAGCCGCCGCGGUAA
rnacentral:rRNA from 1 species